rnacentral:rRNA from 1 species
GAUGAACGCUGGCGGCGUGCCUAAUACAUGCAAGUCGAGCGAACGGACGAGAAGCUGGCGUCUCUGAUGUUAGCGGCGGACGGGUGAGGAACACGUGGAUAACCUACCUAUAAGACUGGGAUAACUUCGGGAAACCGUAGCUAAUACCGGAUAAUAUUUUGAACCGCAUGGUUCAAAAGUGAAAGACGGUCUUGCUGUCACUAAUAGAUGGAUCCGCGCUGCAUUAGCUAGUGGGUAAGGUAACGGCUUACCAAGGCAACGAUGCAUAGCCGACCUCAGAGCGACGUCGGCCACCCUGGCACUGAGACACGGUCCCGACUCCUACGCGAGGCAGCAGUCGGGACUCUUCCGCAAUGGGCCAGAGCCUGACGUAGCACCGCCGCGUAAGUGAUGAAGCUCUUCGGAUCGUAAAGCUCUGUUAUUCGGGAAGAACAUAUGUGUAAGUACCUGUGAACAUAUUGACGGUACCUAAUCAGAAAGCCACGGCUAACUACGUG